rnacentral:rRNA from 1 species
UACGUAGGGUGCAGGCGUUAAUCGGAAUUACUGGGCGUAAAGCGUGCGUAGGCGGUCUAUUAAGACAGGCGUGAAAUCCCCGGGCUUAACCUGGGAACUGCGCUUGUUACUGAUAGGCUUGAGUGUGGCAGAGGGGGGUGGAAUUCCACGUGUAGCAGUGAAAUGCGUAGAGAUGUGGAGGAACACCGAUGGCGAAGGCAGCCCCCUGGGCUAACACUGACGCUCAUGCACGAAAGCGUGGGGAGCAAACAGG